CGAGUUCCAGCCGCAAUACGCUCGUCGACUUGCUUGUAGCAUCCGUGCUUCAGAUCUUAGCAGCGAUGGCGAACUUUUCCGGCCUCUUCAUGUUGGUUGCUUCUGGGAUUGCUGCUCAGCUCCUGGCUUACCCGGCGGGCGCCAUUGGAUUGCCGUUGAUGAUGCUGUGUAUCCUACGAGGCCGUGCGGACGUUCCGACAACUGAAGACGCUUGAGGCGAACACGUGAAGGAACCGACGCGCAUACUGGGAGCAGACGCGAUGUCUAGGUGGAGGCUUAGUAGAACGAGAACCAUAUAAUGUGCACACCAUGAUGUGAGACUUCG